ACCAGGAUGGCAGAGUGGUUAAGGCGUUGGGCUUAAGUUGCAAUGUACGAAUGUACUCGUGGGUUCGAACCCCACUCCUGGUA
rnacentral:tRNA from 1 species